rnacentral:pre_miRNA from 14 species
AUCUCUGGCCAAUGAAAUUGAAAGAUCCCACGCAGAGAGACCCUUACUCAAGUCUUGGGAAAUCGCGGACCCCAGACACAGAGAGACCA